rnacentral:rRNA from 1 species
UACGGGGGGAGCAAGCGUUGUUCGGAUUUACUGGGCGUAAAGGGCGCGUAGGCGGUCAGCACAAGUCAGUUUGUGAAAUCUCCGAGCUUAACUCGGAAAGGUCAACUGAAACUGUGCGACUAGAGUGCGGAAGGGGCAAGCUGGAAUUCUUGGUGUAGCGGUGAAAUGACGUAGAUAUCAAGAGGAACACCUGCGGCGAAGGCGGGUGCUGGGCCGACACUGACGCUGAUGCGCGAAAGCCAGGGAGGCGAACGGG